rnacentral:rRNA from 1 species
CCUACGGGAGGCAGCAGUAGGGAAUUUUCGUCAAUGGGCGCAAGCCUGAACGAGCAAUGCCGCGUGAACGAGGAAGGUCUUCGGAUCGUAAAGCUCUGUUGUUGGAGAAGAACGUGCGUGAGCGUAACUGUUCACGCAGUGACGGUAUCCAACCAGAAAGUCACGGCUAACUACGUGCCAGCCGCCGCGGUAAUACGUAGGUGGCAAGCGUUAUCCGGAUUUAUUGGGCGUAAAGCGAGCGCAGGCGGUUGCUUAGGUCUGAUGUGAAAGCCUUCGGCUUAACCGAAGAAGUGCAUCGGAAACCGGGCGACUUGAGUGCAGAAGAGGACAGUGGAACUCCAUGUGUAGCGGUGGAAUGCGUAGAUAUAUGGAAGAACACCAGUGGCGAAGGCGGCUGUCUGGUCUGCAACUGACGCUGAGGCUCGAAAGCAUGGGUAGCGAACAGGAUUAGAUACCCCAGUAGUC